rnacentral:rRNA from 1 species
UACAGAGGUCUCAAGCGUUGUUCGGAUUCAUUGGGCGUAAAGGGUGCGUAGGCGGCGCGGUAAGUCGGGUGUGAAAUCUCGGGGCUUAACUCCGAAACUGCAUUCGAUACUGCCGUGCUUGAGGACUGGAGAGGAGACUGGAAUUUACGGUGUAGCGGUGAAAUGCGUAGAUAUCGUAAGGAAGACCGGUGGCGAAGGCGGGUCUCUGGACAGUUCCUGACGCUGAGGCACGAAGGCCAGGGGAGCAAACGGG